rnacentral:tRNA from 1 species
UCCCUGGUGGUCCAGUGGUUAAGACACUGUGUUCCAGUACAGGGGAGCUGGGUUUGAUCCCUGGUCAGGGAA